UGGGGAAUUUUCCGCAAUGGGCGAAAGCCUGACGGAGUGACGCCGCGUGGGGGACGAAGGCCUUCGGGUCGUAAACCCCUGUCAGAGGGAAAGAAGGGCGUUGGCGUGAAUAGCGCCGACGUCUGACGGUACCUUCAGAGGAAGCCCCGGCCAACUCUGUGCCAGCAGCCGCGGUAAUACGGAGGGGGCUAGCGUUGUUCGGAAUUACUGGGCGUAAAGCGCACGUAGGCGGCUUUGUAAGUUAGAGGUGAAAGCCCGGAGCUCAACUCCGGAAUUGCCUUUAAGACUGCAUCGCUCGAAUCAUGGAGAGGUGAGUGGAAUUCCGAGUGUAGAGGUGAAAUUCGUAGAUAUUCGGAAGAACACCAGUGGCGAAGGCGGCUCACUGGACGAUUGUUGACGCUGAGGUGCGAAAGCGUGGGGAGCAAA
rnacentral:rRNA from 1 species